UAGGGCAGCAGGGAGAUUUACAAAUGACCUGUGAGUAGCAAAGGAGAAGGUUAUUCCUGGGCUUCAGGGCAGGAGCUGAAGCACUCACAAGUAAAAUUUGUUUUGCUUUAAGGAAGAAAACAUAUCUUCCCAGAAAUGUCUUUAGGAGAGAUGAGGGCUUUUGGUUUAUGUGCUGUGUACAUGGCUGGCAGCAGAGUCAGGAAUGAAAUAAAGCAGCAGCCCUGGUAGAGGCAUUUGUAAGGCUCUGAAGAAGGAUGACUUCAUGGUGACAUUGGAUUCCCUGCUUGGCUCCACACAGAACUGGCGGUGUGACCUGGGAUAUGGCUUUCCACCAAAGCUGCACGUGCCUUUUAGCUGGGAACACAAAGCCAGCAUUUCAGCACGGGAAAACUAACCUGUGUGUUUUCUCUCUGAAUAAAAACCUGUGUCCCUGGGGCUGGAGGGCGAGGCUGUGCCACUGCAAGCAUUCAGGUACCAUGCUGAGCUGCUGGAAAGGCUCCAGAUGCCCAGAGGGAUGGGAAUGACUCCCUGCACCCCCGUCAACAAGGCGAGAUGGCUCUGAGCGUUCAUUCUCCGCAAAUGAAAAUUAGAGGAGUGUGGAAUACUGACAACAAAUUGCAGCACUGUUUCUAAUGCAAGGCACUCAUGCUGCUGAAAGGCUCAGAGGUCCACAGCACCUCAGCUCAUACUCAAACCUUGAGUAUUUUUUCAGAGCAGCAGAAUUAAGACCAUUUUCAAUAUGUACAGGCUGUUUCUAAGUAAGGAACAGUUAAAGCAGGACCAUUCCCCAGCAAAUAUCCUCUGUGCCAAUAUGAUGAAAUUGGAAUGAACCUGGGACUCUGCCUCAGGACAAGCCAUUAGAUUAUCAAACUGAAGAAGAAUUUUAUGUGAUAGGUUGCUUGGAAACAUGGAUAAAAAUCUGUCCCUAGCCUCUUUUGCCCAGUUGCAAUCCCCAGUGCUCCCAGUUUGUGAAAACACAGGGGGUGUCUGCAGUACCACAAACCUGGCAGUACAAAACCUAUAUUUGUUCUACAAUUUCUCACAUGGAGACAAUAUGGUGACUCUCUGGAUCCUGGGUAUUCCCCACUGGAAGAAUAGCAAAAAUCCCAGCUUCUUUCCGCAGCACUUGCUUCCUUCCCUCCCCUCCACCUAAAGUAAAGGGGCAUCUUCUACUUCAGGUUUUUAACCCUUUUCUCCCCAGAAGAGCCAGGGAAUCUGAUUCAUUACAUGUGGGUUCAACAUGCAUGUUAUUUAUUAGGAUCAGCAUCUCUGUAAAGUUAGGCAAGAAGUUGCUUUUCAAGGCCCUGGGUGGCUCUAAACAUUAUUAAACAUGGUCAUUAGAACAUGCUUUUCCAACCAUUGAACGGCUGUGAACAUUAAAUAUUUUGGUUUAAUAAGUGCUUGCUUUUUCAGCUGCUGAGUGGCCUUAAUCUUUUUUUUUCCCCCUCAUUAAAAAAUGUUGUUUUUCCAGCUCAUGAGCCACUGAAAAUACUGUUCUGUUUUUUUCUCUUAAUUUUUAUUUAUUUUUUCCCUUUCUCUCUUUUUUAAAUUUUUUUUUUAACUCACUGAUCAGUUUAUUUUUUUAAAAAGGGUGAGAAUUUUGGAGCCUUUGGCUAAAAGAACUUGUUUUCAGCUACUAGGACAAGUAUAGGGCACGGCUUAAGAUAACAUAAUAAUCAAACCUUGCUUGUGUGAACAAGUUCCACUGAGAUAAGAACAUGCAAACUAUCCAAACAUCAGCAGAUUGUCUUCUGUGUGUGCUCUGAAAGGAUGGAUGAAUCACACUGCUGCAUGCCAGCUUCCCCACCUGCCAGUCAAGCAUGUCCUAUUGUGUCAUCCCUGUAGAUUCAGGGGGCAAGGUGUGAAGCAAUCCUGGGGUCAGGGGUGAGGCCUGUGUGUUUUGGAUUCAGAAUGAAGA